AGGGCACCACCAGGAGUGGAGCCUGCGGCUUAAUUUGACUCAACACGGGAAAUCUCACCAGGCCCGGACACCGGAAGGAUUGACAGAUUGAGAGCUCUUUCUUGAUUCGGUGGGUGGUGGUGCAUGGCCGUUCUUAGUUGGUGGAGCGAUUUGUCUGGUUAAUUCCGAUAACGAACGAGACUCUGGCCUACUAACUAGAUGGAGGAUCCCUUCGUGGGUUCUUCACUGCUUCUUAGAGGGACGGGCGGCGUUUAGCCGCACGAGAUUGAGCAAUAACAGGUCUGUGAUGCCCUUAGAUGUUCUGGGCUGCACGCGCGCUACACUGAAGGAAUCAGCGUGUCCUCCCCGCUCUGAAAAGAGUGGGUAACCCGUUGAAACUCCUUCGUGAUGGGGAUUGGAGAUUGUAAUUAUUCUCCAUGAACAAGGAAUCCCCAGUAGGCGCGAGUCAUCAGCUUGCGUCGAUUACGUCCCUGCCCUUUGUACACACCGCCCGUCGCUACUACCGAUCGAGUGAUUUAG
rnacentral:rRNA from 1 species